GGAAGCAUCCCUUCUCCUCAAGGGAACUCUCCAGCCUGUCUUCAGGGUGCCGAAGGCAACCUCUUCCAAGCCUUUGCCAAGUCCAGCGGAACAGGUGGAAGAGGACAACAAUGAGGCUGAGGCUGACAGGUGCUUCUUGUUGGAGUUGCCAACAUGUGUCCUAAUGGACAUAUUUCAAGAAGUUGUCCUCAGUGAAGGUGACGCCGCAAUCUGCAGACUGGCUCUGGUGUGCUCCACUUUGAGAGACCUUGUGUCUACUGAACAUUUCAGGAGGCGAGCGCACUUUAAGUGGCUUCACAGUGUUUGCACAUGGAGCAGAUUCUCUGAAAAUUACAGAAAGGAGUACUGGAGAAUGUACACCAUCGAGAUCUGCCAAGAAUGUGGAGAGCAAUACAAAGAAAUGCCACGAGGAUAUGUUGGCAGAGGGAAAAGAGGAGAAGUGCUAGCCUUCUAUUCAGAGGAGAGGAACCCAGGCUACUGCAGUCACUUCUGCAGCCAAAUGUGCUAAAAUCAGUCAGUUGUGCAGUCUGGGCUAUUUUUAUUUUAUUUUUUAAAUUUUAUUUUAUAUCUGUUAUUAAUCCCAUUUCACACAGUUUGUCCCCAUCUGCUGGUACAAAAACUUUUGAUAUGAGAAGUUAAUCCCUUAAUAAUUAAAUGACUAUUUUCUUUGUUGACUGAUAGGUCACAACAGGUGAAUGUGAACGGCGUUCUUUCUACAGUUAAGAACUACAGUACUGGGGUUCCUCAAGGAGCUGUUAUUUCUCUUCUUUUUACUUUGUACACAUGAUUAUAGAAGCACUCAAUCUAAUAACUUCAUUUUCAGAUGAUAUUGCAAUUUUAAGUCUUUUACGUGUCAGUGAGUGCCCAUCAAUGUACCACAAUGAAAUCAAAACCUUUAAGGCUUGGUGUGAUAACUGUCAUCCUACUUUGAAUACAAGGAAAACAAAAGAGAUGAUAUUCGAUCCUAAAUGUGAUUGUAUGCAUGAACUGGUAGCAAUAAAUGAUUUUUCAAUUAAACAGGUCUGUUCUUUAAGUAUUUAGGCAUUUUUAUUGAUAAAUCAUUUAAAUGGAAUGAACUGCUGUUGUUGAAAUUGCAGUGAUGUGAUCUGAUGUGGCACUUUGUCCAAGACAUUUCUUUUAGGACAAUAAAGUUAAUCUGAAUUGUGUGAUUGUGUAAACCUGCAUAAGGCUGUGGGCUGGCUCCUUCCCUGCUGCUUGAUUUCUUUCCUCAGCUCC